rnacentral:rRNA from 1 species
GAGACUCUGUGCGCGUGCAUAUCAAUAAGCGGAGGAAAAGAAACUAACAAGGAUUCCCUUAGUAACGGCGAGUGAAGCGGGAAGAGCUCAAAUUUGAAAUCUUCAAGGUUCUACCUUGACGAAUUGUAGUUUAUAGAAGUGUUUUCUGCUUAGUGGAGUGGCAAAAGUUCUUUGGAAUAGGACAUCAUAGAGGGUGAGAAUCCCGUAUUUGGUCAUUCCUCCUAGCGUUGUGAUACACUUUCAACGAGUCGGAUUGUUUGGGAAUGCAGUCCAAAAUGGGUGGUAAAUUUCAUCUAAAGCUAAAUAUUGGCGAGAGACCGAUAGCGAACAAGUACCGUGAGGGAAAGAUGAAAAGAACUUUGAAAAGAGAGUUAAACAGUACGUGAAAUUGUCAAAAGGGAAGCGUUUGACACCAGUGUUGUUUUUUCCGAAAAUCAAUUACGAAUGUUUUAUUAUUGAGGAGUUAUGACUUCAUCGGCUUGCUCCCUUCUUUACUGAAACUUUCUUAAUGCACUAUUCGGUUAACAAGUCAACAUCAAUUUCUUUUGUUGUAAAAGGGUAUGAGGAAGGUGGCUUUCUUUUCGGAGAAAGUGUUUAUAGCCUUGUGCCUCUGCAAUCGGAGAGAUUGAGGUCUGCAGCGUAGAUCCUUCGGGGUUAGAUACGUUUGUGCUAAGUUAUAGCUUUUCAUAGACAACUUGUUGACUAUGUUUAGUCUUGUAGCUUACUCGCUGAUGCUAUUUUACCUACGCUUAGGAUGUUGACAGCAGUAUAGACUGU